rnacentral:rRNA from 1 species
UUUUGGACAAUGGGCGCAAGCCUGAUCCAGCCAUUCCGCGUGAGUGAAGAAGGCCUUCGGGUUGUAAAGCUCUUUCGCAAGGGAAGAAAACUUACUUUCUAAUAAAGAGUGAGGUUGACGGUACCUUGAUAAGAAGCACCGGCUAACUACGUGCCAGCAGCCGCGGUAAUACGUAGGGUGCGAGCGUUAAUCGGAAUUACUGGGCGUAAAGCGUGCGCAGGCGGCUUUGUAAGUCAGAUGUGAAAUCCCCGAGCUCAACUUGGGAACUGCGUUUGAAACUACAAGGCUAGAAUAUGUCAGAGGGGGGUAGAAUUCCACGUGUAGCAGUGAAAUGCGUAGAGAUGGGAGGAAUACCAAUGGCGAAGGCGGCCCCCUGGGAGUGGAUUGACGCUCAUGCACGAA